UACAGAGGGUGCGAGCGUUAAUCGGAAUUACUGGGCGUAAAGGGUGCGUAGGUGGUUUUAUAAGUUAGGUGUGAAAUUCCUGGGCUUAACCUGGGGACUGCGCCUAAUACUGUAAAGCUAGAGUACUGUAGAGGAAAGUGGAAUUUCCGGUGUAGCAGUGAAAUGCGUAGAUAUCGGAAGGAACAUCAGUGGCGAAGGCGACUUUCUGGACAGAUACUGACACUGAGGCACGAAAGCGUGGGGAGCAAACAGG
rnacentral:rRNA from 1 species